CCCUUAGUAACGGCGAGCGAAAAGGGAAGAGUCCAGCGCCAAGUCUUGACGCCAAAGCGUUCAAGAGAUGCGGCGUUAAUGUAUUAUCGCAUCGUACAUUGUUACCUGUUUCAAGUUCCCUUGACAGGGACAUCCAUAGCGGGUGCUAGGCCCAUAGAGGCAGGAAACCAGUGUGCGCAGAUAAUGCAUUCUAGAGUCAGGUUGCUUGAGAGUGCAGCUUAAAGUGGGUGGUAAACUCCAUCUAAGGCUAAAUAUGACAGCGAGACCGAUAGCAAACAAGUACCGUGAGGGAAAGUUGCAAAGCACUUUGAAGAGAGAGUUCAACAGUACGUGAAACCACUGGGAGGCAAACAGAUGGAACCACGAAGUUGCGCCUCGCUCGAUUCAAUCAUUGAUACUGGUUACCGGUUCUUGUGUGGAUCUUUUCGGAGAUUAGCAAGUGUCGUGGAACUUGUUUCAAUGGUGCAUUUCGUGUGAGGAUGCUAAGCCACGUUCGAUUAAAGUUGGGACGGCCGUAGGACAGAAUUCGAGGAAGGUGACCGGAAAGUGCUUGCAUUUUUCGGUGUUAUAGCCUUGAAUUGGUACCGUCGCCUAACAAACUGAUCGAUAGAAAUUCUCCUUAGGAGUUAAACUGUGUCUGCCUGUGACCAUUAGUCAACAUUUCGAAGUGUUCUUUACGUAUCUUUGGUGCGGAAAGGCAUUUCAACAAUGUUGGUUAGUGGUUGCUUGCGUGACAUGGUGGAACUGUGGCGCGAGUAGGUCGGUUUCCCUCUGACCC
rnacentral:rRNA from 1 species